rnacentral:rRNA from 1 species
AUGAACGCUAGCGACAGGCCUAACACAUGCAAGUCGAGGGGCAGCACAAGGAGCAAUCUGAGGUGGCGACCGGCGCACAGGUGAGUAACACGUAUGCAACCUGCCUGUAAGCGGGGAAUAACCCGUUGAAAGACGGACUAAUACCGCAUAAUACUAAAUUACUGCAUGGUAAUUUAUUUAAACAUUUAUGGCUUACAGAUGGGCAUGCGCAUGAUUAGCUAGUUGGAGAGGUAACGGCUCCCCAAGGCAACGAUCAUUAGGGGUUCUGAGAGGAAGGUCCCCCACACUGGUACUGAGACACGGACCAGACUCCUACGGGAGGCAGCAGUGAGGAAUAUUGGUCAAUGGACGAGAGUCUGAACCAGCCAAGUCGCGUGCAGGAAGAAUGUCCCUAUGGAUUGUAAACUGCUUUUGCAGGGGAAUAAAGUGCAUCACGUGUGAUGUUUUGUAUGUACUCUGCGAAUAAGGAUCGGCUAACUCCGUGCCAGCCGCUGC